GAAAUUCGCCUUCAUGAAGUCGGAAUUGCUAGUAAUGGCAGGUCAGCAUACUGCCGUGAAUACGUUCCCGGGCCUUGUACACACCGCCCGUCACACCAUGAGAGUUGGAGAUACCCGAAGCCUGUGAGCUAACUUUUAGAGGCAGCAGUCGAAGGUAGAAUCAAUGAUUGGGGUGAAGUCGUAACAAGGUACC
rnacentral:rRNA from 1 species